GACAGAGGUGCCGAGCGUUAUGCGGAAUCACUGGGCUUAAAGCGUGUGUAGGCGGGCGAUCAAGUACCUUGUGAAAUCCCACGGCUCAACCGUGGAACCGCUGGGUAUACUGGUUGUCUUGAGCCGGCUAGGGGCGAGCGGAACAGACGGUGGAGCGGUGAAAUGCGUAGAUAUCGUCUGGAACGCCGAAGGUGAAAACAGCUCGCUGGGGCCGCGCUGACGCUGAGACACGAAAGCCAGGGGAGCGAACGGG
rnacentral:rRNA from 1 species